GAGAUAGAGGCGCAUUUGACAUUAGUAAAUAUUUUGAUGUUGCAGUGACAGAUGAUAAAUAUUGAAAGGGGAUAAUGCCGAAGAAGGUUUUCUGCUGUCGGGAAGCUUUCUGGUUGCUUUUGUUAACAGCGGGGCAACUGUCAUUGGUAAUUCCGAUGGAGAACUAAUGGAGAGCUAUC
rnacentral:ncRNA from 1 species